CCGCAUGGCGCAUGACCUUUGUU
rnacentral:miRNA from 1 species